AAACUGCUUAGAAACGUAACACACCUCAUAACUUAUAAUUCAUACUAUACCUUCCAAGGUAGAUUUUACAGGCAAAAAAGAAGCGUCCCAAUCAGUGGACCACUUGCCGGAAUAAUGGCCGAGCUAGUUGUCUGACAUAGAAAUGCCCUAACCCUUCACCAGGCAGAAAUUAAACUAUAUGCCCGAUACAUAGACGAUGUAUGUAUAAUUUGGAAGCAGAAAGAAUAUAACAACAGUAUAAUAAACAUGCUUAAUGACAAUACUAUGGGGCUCACGGUAAGACUCAAACAAACUAGCAAUAAAACGUUUCAUUUUUUGGACUUCCAAGUAAACACAGAACAAGGUGAAUAUAUCACCACCAUCUAUAAAAAACCCACAUAUAUACUAAUCAUUAUACCAGCCUGGUCUAAUGAUUAUAUGCCAUAUAAACUCGCAGCCUUUAGAUCGAUGUUCAUGAGAAUACAUACCAUAUAACUAAAUGGCAGGACAAAUAUAAGGAACUUUUAUACGUAUAUAACCUAGGCCAUAAGUUUGGUUACAAUAGAAAGACUAUGGAAGGUAUUUGGAAUAAGGUACAGAAACACAUAGAAA
rnacentral:lncRNA from 1 species